rnacentral:rRNA from 1 species
UACGUAGGGUGCAAGCGUUGUCCGGAAUUAUUGGGCGUAAAGAGCUCGUAGGCGGCUUGUCGCGUCUGCUGUGAAAACUCGGGGCUUAACCCCGGGCCUGCAGUGGAUACGGGCAGGCUAGAGUGCGGUAGGGGAGACUGGAAUUCCUGGUGUAGCGGUGAAAUGCGCAGAUAUCAGGAGGAACACCGGUGGCGAAGGCGGGUCUCUGGGCCGAUACUGACGCUGAGGAGCGAAAGCGUGGGGAGCGAACAGG